GGCCCCGUAGCUCAGCGGAUAGAGCGGCUGCCUCCUAAGCAGCAGGUCGAGGGUUCGAGUCCCGCCGGGGUCGCCA
rnacentral:tRNA from 3 species